rnacentral:lncRNA from 1 species
CAUUAAACUCAUUAACUACUAACUGCAAACCUCAUCAGGCAGCAAUCAACUCAGUAAAAGGAUCUAAAGUAUCAUUUUCCCUGCCACGUGAAUUAAUUUACCUGCAUAAUCUCUAAUAACAAAAGCAAUAGAAGACUAUGAAACCUGUACAGCAACAUCAAAAUUAAUCUUAAAUUAUCCAAAGGAAGAGGGUGACCACUAAAGAAGUUGAAGAUGUAGAG